UUUUGUAGUUAAAUGAUAGUAUAUAGUAUGUUUAAUGAAUUAGGAAAGGGUUAAUUAGUGACGUAAUACACUCACUUUGGAAAGUAGAAUUUUACAUAUAAAUAAAAAAACUUUGUCGAAGUGAGAAUUUAAAUAGUGUAGGGUGCAGGUAAUGGCAAGCCCUUGACGAUGCCGCAAAGGUUGGUGUUGAGAGGGAUGUUGUACUCGUCUCUUAGUGAUUUUUCAGGUGAGAGAACACUGACGUACAUUUGCUCGCCCAAGUACCUUCUCUCCCAGUUCUCUGAUCUGAUGUUCCACAUACCGGCGUUGUCGAAUGUCAAGAGGAUGGUUGACCAGGAUUUGGGGUACACUUGCACGGUGUGUCUGCUAACAGCAUCCAACAAGUUGUAGUUAUUUCUCUUCUCUGGUGUCCAUCUUCCUGGCUCAGAGCUGCAAACAAAACAUAAUGUUAGAAGUGUUAUAGGAAUGGAAUGAGAAGCUAGGGGUUGUGAAUGGGGCGGGGCUUACGCGACAGCGAAGAAAGAGUGACCGUCCAAAUGGAAGGAUUGCAUGCUUUUCUCGUGGUUCUCGAAAACGAUUUCGACAAAGGUACGGAAAGUGAUGUUGAGGACAUUGGGCUCGACGGUUAGUGUUGUGAUCUUGGCUGCGGGUUCGUCCUUGAUGACGUUGUAUUUGAAAACCUUGUCGGCAAAUCCGAAGUACUCGGCAAGCUUCAAAGGAGUCUCGGUGUCAACGUGUGAUACACCGUUGAACCCAAACCUGACCUUUCCGUUCACCACAUUCUUGGUGUUGGCGAGCUUGAUGGUACGGGUGAUGUUGAUCUUUCCGUAAUGGUAGGAUCCUUGUGGGUUAGGUCUGGCAGCACUGGCGGUUAAGUUCCAUCUGAAGGAUCUGAACUGGUUGAGAGACCAAGCCCAGCCGACGGGAGCCUUGGGGAGCUCGGUUGAGGGCUCAACGUUGCUUCCUUCGUAGCUCAACACACCAACAGUGCUCACCUCCUUCUUGAGGAACCUAGUGGAUGCAACCAUGUAGUAGUUCUUGGCCACUUGGUCAGCGGUCACUAGCACGGCAAAGCACUGUCCGACGUGGACGUCAAGAGAGUCGUAGUCGUUCUGGAGAACGUGAGAGCCUUCCAUCUCAACAAGCUUCAUCUUGUGUCCUUGGAUCCUGAAGUUAAGAGUGGAUUUGAAUCCAACAUUGCAGAUCCUGUACUUGUAAGUCUUUCCUGGCUUCAUGGUGAAAAGUGGCUCGUUCUUCUGGCCAACUUUACCGGAUUUCCCGUUGAUGAGAACACCGUCUGGGGAUCCGAGAGUACGACCACUGUCCAAGAAGUUCUUGAGAGCGGUGUGGCUCUUGGUAAACCAGUCAUUGAUGAGGAUGGUGUUGUCUUCUUCGGGAUCAGCGUAAGGGACCGGGAUGAGGAGACGGCUGUUGACACGAAGGCCACCGAAACCACCGGCGAAACGGUGGAGAGAUGUGGAUGGGUAGUAGAAGUAACUACCGAUCUGGUCCUUAGGCUGGAAAUGGUAAGUGUAGUUGGUACCUGCUGGGAUUGGGCAUGAGGUCCCACUCACACCAUCUUGCCACGAGUUCUUCCUGUGCUGAAGUCCACUCCUGUCACGUCACCCAAAAACCAUUGUCAGCACGACCAAGUAUCGGAAGAUAUAAUUAUACGUAAUGUAAAACUGUAACCAAGUCUAAUGCAAAAAAACAAAUCCACAAAUAUGUUUUGAAGGGAAAAAAAACAGUUUGGUUACGAACCAGGUCAAGAGGAAAGGCUCGUCAAGGUUGUUGAAGACGUUGAUGACAACAUUGUUGUUGGAGGUGGAGUUUAGGUUAGGACCAGGGAACUGUCCGUUAAUGAGAAUCACCUGUUGAGGAAUUCCGAGAGGCGCGGCG
rnacentral:lncRNA from 1 species